rnacentral:rRNA from 1 species
UACGUAGGGUGCGAGCGUUGUCCGGAAUUAUUGGGCGUAAAGAGCUCGUAGGCGGUUUGUCGCGUCGUUCGUGAAAACUUGGGGCUUAACUCCAAGCGUGCGGGCGAUACGGGCAGACUUGAGUACUACAGGGGAGACUGGAAUUCCUGGUGUAGCGGUGAAAUGCGCAGAUAUCAGGAGGAACACCGGUGGCGAAGGCAGGUCUCUGGGCGAUUAACUGACGCUGAGGAGCGAAAAGCAUGGGGAGCGAACAGG